rnacentral:tRNA from 1 species
AUUUAAGUAGCUUAAUAAAAGAGCAUAACAUUGAAGAUGUUAGGGUAAUUGUUGAAAUUCUUAAAUA